rnacentral:rRNA from 1 species
AGACGUAGGGGGCGAGCGUUGUCCGGAAUUACUGGGCGUAAAGAGCACGUAGGCGGGUAAUUAAGUCAGAUGUGAAAGCCCAGGGCCCAACCCUGGGGUUGCCUCUGAAACUGGUUAUCUUGAGGGCAGGAGAGGGCAGUGGAAUUCCUGGUGUAGCGGUGAAAUGCGUAGAAAUCAGGAGGAACACCAGUGGCGAAGGCGGCUGCCUGGACUGACCCUGACGCUGAGGUGCGAAAGCGUGGGUAGCAAACAGGAUUAGAUACCCUGGUAGUCCACGCUGUAAACGAUGGAUACUAGGUGUGGGAGGUAUCGACCCCUUCCGUGCCGCAGCUAACGCAAUAAGUAUCCCGCCUGGGGAGUACGGUCGCAAGGCUGAAACUCAAAUGAAUUGACGGGG